GGGCUGAGCUUGGCCGGGGAGCUAGACGUACCCUGUGACCCCCAACCGCCUUUAGGGGGGGCGACAGCCGGCGGCGGCGCACCCAGUGGGUCGCCCAAUCCGCAAUCCGACCGUGAAGUCCUGUCCUCCGGGGUCGCAGGCGGUCAGUGCGGUCUGCCGGAGGGCAGGCCGUCGGCCUUCACCACGGGAAUCGGGUCAGGCCCGGAAGGGAGCAGCCCCACCGUGGACUUCCGACGCUCGGAUGGGUAGCGGGGUGGAGAAGGAGCGUGGCAGCGGGCGCUCUGCCAGGACGACAACGCCGGUGGGGGCGGGCCC
rnacentral:SRP_RNA from 1 species